GACGAACUCUGGCGGCGUGCUUAACACAUGCAAGUCGAACGGUAAGGCUCCAGCUUGCUGGGGUACACGAGUGGCGAACGGGUGAGUAACACGUGGGUGACCUGCCCUGCACUUCGGGAUAAGCCUGGGAAACUGGGUCUAAUACCGGAUAGGACCGCACCGUGAGGGUGUGGUGGAAAGUUUUUUCGGUGUGGGAUGGGCCCGCGGCCUAUCAGCUUGUUGGUGGGGUAAUGGCCUACCAAGGCGGCGACGGGUAGCCGGCCUGAGAGGGUGGACGGCCACAUUGGGACUGAGACACGGCCCAGACUCCUACGGGAGGCAGCAGUGGGGAAUAUUGCACAAUGGGCGGAAGCCUGAUGCAGCGACGCCGCGUGGGGGAUGACGGCCUUCGGGUUGUAAACUCCUUUCACCGUCGACGAAGGGUUUCUGACGGUAGAUGGAGAAGAAGCACCGGCUAACUACGUGCCAGCAGCCGCGGUAAUACGUAGGGUGCGAGCGUUGUCCGGAAUUACUGGGCGUAAAGAGCUCGUAGGUGGUUUGUCGCGUCGUCUGUGAAAUUCCGGGGCUUAACUCCGGGCGUGCAGGCGAUACGGGCAUAACUUGAGUACUGUAGGGGAGACUGGAAUUCCUGGUGUAGCGGUGAAAUGCGCAGAUAUCAGGAGGAACACCGGUGGCGAAGGCGGGUCUCUGGGCAGUAACUGACGCUGAGGAGCGAAAGCAUGGGGAGCGAACAGGAUUAGAUACCCUGGUAGUCCAUGCCGUAAACGGUGGGCGCUAGGUGUGGGCUUCCUUCCACGGGAUCCGUGCCGUAGCUAACGCAUUAAGCGCCCCGCCUGGGGAGUACGGCCGCAAGGCUAAAACUCAAAGGAAUUGACGGGGGCCCGCACAAGCGGCGGAGCAUGUGGAUUAAUUCGAUGCAACGCGAAGAACCUUACCUGGGCUUGACAUAUACAGGAUCGCGCCAGAGAUGGUGUUUCCCUUGUGGCUUGUAUACAGGUGGUGCAUGGUUGUCGUCAGCUCGUGUCGUGAGAUGUUGGGUUAAGUCCCGCAACGAGCGCAACCCUUGUCUUAUGUUGCCAGCACGUUGUGGUGGGGACUCGUAAGAAACUGCCGGGGUUAACUCGGAGGAAGGUGGGGAUGACGUCAAAUCAUCAUGCCCCUUAUGCCCAGGGCUUCACACAUGCUACAAUGGUCGGUACAGUGGGUUGCCAGUCCGUGAGGGCGAGCUAAUCCCGCAAAGCCGGUCUCAGUUCGGAUCGGGGUCUGCAACUCGACCCCGUGAAGUCGGAGUCGCUAGUAAUCGCAGAUCAGCAACGCUGCGGUGAAUACGUUCCCGGGCCU
rnacentral:rRNA from 1 species